GCCCUGGAUAGUCAGUGGAUUGGAGUGUGGGGCUGACAUCGCCAAGGUUGCAGGUUCGAUCCCUGUAUGGGGCA